UGCACAUAGGACAAUGAAAAGAGCUGCAAUUCUGACCAGAGAAAGGCCAUCAAGAAGGCUUAUGAAACCGUAAGAGACAUGACAAAGGCUUUCCAGAAACACCGGGCAGAUGGCAUCGGAGGAGACCACCGAGACCCCUGCUCCGGCAGGGCCGCCCCGAGCAGGGCACCCAGGUGGCUUCCAGGGUCUCGGAGGAGGGGAGCCCAGAGGCCACGGAGGUGGCAGGCAGCUGGGGGCCGAUGGCUCUUAAUUCUUGGGUGCUGAAGGGUAGAGAGACGGAGGUUUCAGUGGGCUCCCAGCAGGCAGCUGGUCCCUUGCCUUGCAAGGCGUUACCUCAGGGUGCUGGGCAGCCUGCACGGCCUGCUGGAGCCUUCACCCCAGGGCUGCGAGGCUGCUGUUAACAUACCGAGCAGCGUCCCUCUUCACACACAAAACUACAGAACUACACCUGCAAAGAUGUAAACUGUGAAAUUAAAAAGUAACCGCCGCUUGGUGUCGUUUGUGUUUUGCAUGCUAACAUAAUAAAUGAGAAGAGAAUUCAG
rnacentral:lncRNA from 1 species